rnacentral:rRNA from 1 species
AUUGAACGCUGGCGGCAGGCCUAACACAUGCAAGUCGAGCGGUAGCACAGAGAGCUUGCUCCCGGGUGACGAGCGGCGGACGGGUGAGUAAUGUCUGGGAAACUGCCUGAUGGAGGGGGAUAACUACUGGAAACGGUAGCUAAUACCGCAUAACGUCGCAAGACCAAAGUGGGGGACCUUCGGGCCUCAUGCCAUCAGAUGUGCACAGAUGGGAUUAGCUGGUAGGUGGGGUAACGGCUCACCUAGGCGACGAUGCCUAGCUGGUCUGAGAGGAUGACCAGCCACACUGGAACUGAGACACGGUCCAGACUCCUACGGGAGGCAGCAGUGGGGAAUAUUGCACAAUGGGCGCAAGCCUGAUGCAGCCAUGCCGCGUGUGUGAAGAAGGCCUUCGGGUUGUAAAGCACUUUCAGCGGGGAGGAAGGCGGUGAGGUUAAUAACCUCAUCGAUUGACGUUACCCGCAGAAGAAGCACCGGCUAACUCCGUGCCAGCAGCCGCAGUAA